GCCCCACUCGUCGGCUAGUCGCCUAGUCCCUUUCCCUUCCACACGAUUCGGAGCAGCACGUGCGCGUCAAACCUUACCACCACCGCCAUCGUCUUGCGGCUAAAUUGCCUUGAGACGCCGCAGCACUGCAGCAGCACAGGGGGGGAGAAGGGGCGGGCGCUCGAGUGAACCACCACUACACUACUCCGCGUCUCCCUCCCCUGGCUACGAGGCUAUAAUAACGAGCGCGUAAGACGGCCGGCGGCGCACGCAGCCAUGUCCGCGCACCUCCGCCUACUCUCGGCCGCCCACGUCUCCGCGCCCACACCCACCUCCCUCCACCGCCUCCGUGGCCCUCCUCCUUCUCCUCCCGCGGCCCGCCUCCGGCUGCUGCUGCGACCGCCGCGGCUCGGGGGGAGCCAGGCGCGCUUCGCCGGCGCCGUCCGCUGCUCCGGCUCGGCGUCGGCGCCGGCGGUCGCGCGGGUUGGCGAGGACAGCGACGCGGCGGCGGGCAUAUGGGAGCAGGUGCGGGAUAUCGUCGUGUUCGCCGGCCCCGCGCUAGGGCUCUGGAUCUGCGGUCCGCUCAUGAGCCUCAUCGACACCAUGGUCAUCGGCCAGACCUCCGCACUCCAGCUCGCCGCGCUAGGGCCUGGGACAGUGUUCUGCGAUUACCUAAGCUACAUAUUCAUGUUCCUCUCGGUCGCAACAUCCAACAUGGUGGCCACCUCCUUAGCCAAAAAGGAUGAAGAACUUACACAACAUCAAGUGUCUAUGUUACUGUUUCUUGCUCUUGCUUGUGGCAUAGGAAUGUUUUUGUUCACCAAGGUGUUUGGUACUCAAGUAUUGACUGCUUUUACUGGAUCUGGGAAUUAUGAACUUAUUUCUUCGGCCAAUACAUAUGCACAGAUAAGAGGUUUCGCAUGGCCUGCAGUUCUUGUUGGCUUAGUUGCUCAAAGUGCUAGUCUGGGCAUGAAGGACUCUUGGGGUCCUUUGAAGGCAUUGGCAGCUGCUAGUGUUAUAAAUGGUGUUGGUGAUAUAUUUCUUUGCUCUGUUUGUGACUAUGGAAUUGCUGGUGCUGCCUGGGCAACUAUGGUUUCACAGGUUGUUGCAGCUUUCAUGAUGAUGCAAAAUCUAAGCAAUAAGGGUUUUCGAGCUUUCUCAUUUACGAUUCCAUCAGUUAGAGAGCUAUUGCAGAUAUUUGAAAUUGCAGCUCCUGUUUUUGUGACAAUGACGUCCAAGGUGGCAUUUUAUGCAUUGCUCACAUAUUCUGCGACUUCUAUGGGAGCAAUAACGCUUGCAGCCCAUCAGGUUAUGAUCAAUGUCUUAUGCAUGUGUACUGUUUGGGGCGAACCUCUGUCUCAAACUGCACAGUCAUUCAUGCCUGAGCUGGUAUAUGGUGCUAAUCGGAAUCUGACCAAGGCAAGGAUGCUAUUGAAGUCACUUGUGAUCAUUGGAGCGAUAACUGGAUUGACCUUGGGGGUAGUAGGGACACUUGUUCCAUGGCUUUUCCCCAGUGUCUUUACCAAUGACCAAAGGGUCAUCCAGCAGAUGCACCGAGUACUGGCUCCAUAUUUCAGUGUAUUGCUGGUGACUCCUUCAAUACACUCCCUUGAGGGAACACUCUUGGCUGGAAGGGAUUUGAGAUAUUUGAGUCAAUCAAUGGGUGUCUGCUUUUCCAUUGGAACCCUUCUCUUGAUGUUUUACUGUCUACGACCCUCACUUUUUGAAUGAUGGCAGCUGCGAAGGCUGUGAGAUUGAUCAACUAGCGAGAGUCCGAAGUCCUUAGUUAGCAACUCAAAACUUAAAAGGGCUUCCUGACGAUGAUGAAUUUGUCUUUUCUUGUUUCACCUUGAAAGCUUCUCCGCAGCAAGGGUAGCUUGGCAGGAUGCUGGUGGGUUCUCGUCUUAUUUCAGUGGAGCCGGUUCGGAAGCGCUUUGCUACGACUUGUUUCUCCGACGGGCAUGCUGUUCAACAAAAACUUCAACCAGGUCGAGUACAUUGAGGCAAAAACGACAUGAAGAUGCACUGUACCCAUCACAAGAGGUGGGAUGAUGAAGAUGUAGAAAAUGAGGCACAGAAACCUGGAAAGAUGAAUAGAUGCAAAAGGAUUCGCAAAAACCAUGGGAAGAUCAUUUGGGCAAAUCACUUCCGUCCAGAAGGGGAUCAGAGUUGGCUACGAUCACUUCCAUUCGUCCUAGGAACUAUAUACCUCACAGAUUCAUGGAAGCUGAGAACUGUAGUAGUGGCUACGCUUUCCAACACUUGGCAGUUUGCGCCCGUAGAAUGGAGUUAAACUGAGUGCUAAAUUUUGUUUCUUGUUACUAACCGUUAAGAAUCACGAGAUGGUUAAUGAUGGUUGAGCUUGUCCAGAAAACAUGGAUAAGUGAGGUCUCAAAAAAUGUAGCAUCUUUUCCAAUA